UGAGGAAUAUUGGUCAAUGGACGCAAGUCUGAACCAGCCAAGUAGCGUGCAGGAUGACGGCCCUAUGGGUUGUAAACUGCUUUUAUAUGGGGAUAAAGUGGGGGACGUGUUCCCUUUUGCAGGUACCAUAUGAAUAAGGAACGGCUAAUUCCGUGCCAGCAGCCGCGGUAAUACGGAAGGUUCGGGCGUUAUCCGGAUUUAUUGGGUUUAAAGGGAGCGUAGGCCGUUUGGUAAGCGUGUUGUGAAAUGUAGGAGCUCAACUUCUAGAUUGCAGCGCGAACUGUCAGACUUGAGUGCGCACAACGUAGGCGGAAUUCAUGGUGUAGCGGUGAAAUGCUUAGAUAUCAUGAAGAACUCCGAUUGCGAAGGCAGCUUACGGGAGCGCAACUGACGCUGAAGCUCGAAGGUGCGGGUAUCGAACAGG
rnacentral:rRNA from 1 species